ensembl:lncRNA
UUGGAAAGCUAUGAAUGUAAGGAAAAAUGUGUCAAUGAAACAAGCUCCACAUUCUUGGUUAAAAAAAAAAAAAAUCAGAUGAAGAUCUGUGAGAAUGCAAGAAAGACUAUAAGACUAUUCAGAGCAGAAGCCAUGGAGCAAGAUAUACAGUACAAGAGCUCAACGCUGAGAACCAAGGGCAUCUCCAGAAGAAGAGAAAAGCAAAGUCAAGUAAACUGUGUGAUGGCUGAGUGUUGAUGACCCUGAUUAGAGAUAAGGAGCGUGG